UGGGCCGUAACUGACGCUGAGGAGCGAAAGGGUGGGGAGCAAACAGGCUUAGAUACCCUGGUAGUCCACCCCGUAAACGUUGGGAACUAGUUGUGGGUCCAUUCCACGGAUUCCGUGACGCAGCUAACGCAUUAAGUUCCCCGCCUGGGGAGUACGGCCGCAAGGCUAAAACUCAAAGGAAUUGACGGGGACCCGCACAAGCGGCGGAGCAUGCGGAUUAAUUCGAUGCAACGCGAAGAACCUUACCAAGGCUUGACAUAUACGAGAACGGGCCAGAAAUGGUCAACUCUUUGGACACUCGUAAACAGGUGGUGCAUGGUUGUCGUCAGCUCGUGUCGUGAGAUGUUGGGUUAAGUCCCGCAACGAGCGCAACCCUCGUUCUAUGUUGCCAGCACGUAAUGGUGGGAACUCAUGGGAUACUGCCGGGGUCAACUCGGAGGAAGGUGGGGAUGACGUCAAAUCAUCAUGCCCCUUAUGUCUUGGGCUUCACGCAUGCUACAAUGGCCGGUACAAAGGGCUGCAAUACCGUGAGGUGGAGCGAAUCCCAAAAAGCCGGUCCCAGUUCGGAUUGAGGUCUGCAACUCGACCUCAUGAAGUCGGAGUCGCUAGUAAUCGCAGAUCAGCAACGCUGCGGUGAAUACGUUCCCGGGUC
rnacentral:rRNA from 1 species